UACGUAUGGGGCAAGCGUUGUCCGGAUUUAUUGGGCGUAAAGAGCGUGUAGGCGGCCAUGUAGGUCCGGUGUGAAAACUCGAGGCUUAACCUCGAGAUGUCAUCGGAAACCAUUUGGCUAGAGUCCGGAAGAGGAGAGUGGAAUUCCUGGUGUAGCGGUGAAAUGCGCAGAUAUCAGGAAGAACACCAAUGGCGAAAGCAGCUCUCUGGGACGGUACUGACGCUGAGGAGCGAAAGCGUGGGGAGCGAACAGG
rnacentral:rRNA from 1 species